CCCAGCGCUGAAGCGCUGGGCUAAAGCUGGGUCGCUCCUCCGGAGCU
rnacentral:sRNA from 1 species